rnacentral:rRNA from 1 species
UACGAAGGGUGCAAGCGUUACUCGGAAUUACUGGGCGUAAAGGGUGCGUAGGUGGUCGUUUAAGUCCGUUGUGAAAUCCCUGGGCUCAACCUGGGAAUGGCAGUGGAUACUGGAUGGCUUGAAUUCGGGAGAGGGAUGCAGAAUUCCAGGUGUAGCGGUGAAAUGCGUAGAUAUCUGGAGGAAUACCGGUGGCGAAGGCGGCAUCCUGGACCGACAUUGACGCUGAACGGCGAAAGCUAGGGGAGCAAACGGG